GACAGAAAACAUGACAUUUUAUUAUAACAAGUGUUAGCAAGCAGGUGGAAAAACAGUCUUUAUCAUCAAGUAUAACCUUGGGGCCCAUCUGCAGGACAUUUUUUGUUGACAGAGUUGCUAUUAGAGAGAAUGAUAGAAACAGCACAGCAAACAGGCAUCCAAGGUAGAAUAAUAAAUCUUUCCUCUGCAAUUCACAGCUGGGUGAAGAGAGAUGCCUUUUGUUUCAGCAAAAUGCUAAACCCAAGGAAUUAUGAUGGUACAAGUGCAUAUUCUCAAUCAAAAUUGGCUAAUAUAUUGCAUGUCAAGGAAAUAGCCACAAAGCUCAAGGUACAAGUCACCCUGGUCUGCCCUGUUAAUUAGAAGACUUUUAUGAUACUCACCUACAUACUUGUAACAUUAUAAGAGAGAGAUUACAUAUAAAGAAGAG